rnacentral:lncRNA from 1 species
CACGCGCACCUUCUUCUUCCUUGGGUCGCCGGACUGGUUUUUCCGGCGGCCGUUUUUCAAAUUGCCAUAACUUUGUCAUUUCUCAACGAAAUCAAGUGAUUCCAAAACGAAAGUUGUAGCCCUUGAAGAUACAAAGAGAAUGGUACCUUGCACAACACCUAGUUCGCCGUGGUUUGGCCGGAAACUGCCUCGAAAGCCUCGGAGGUCGCCGGAAACUGGGUAUUUUUCAAAUGAGUAUAACUUCUUCAAUACUCAACGAAAUUGAGUGAAACAAAAAGGAAAGUUGUAGUACUUGACGAGACGAAGAGAUGGAUACCUACCUCGACUCCUAACUCGCCGGGGAUUCGCCGGAAAAAUCCUCGAAAGCUCCGGCCAAACUUUGAACUUGUCGAUCUCCGUGUUCUUACGUCCAAAAACUUCCAACGAAGCACUCCGAGCUUCCUUGGGACCUCACUAAGCUCGCUGUGAUCUUGUUUUAGCCUAAAUCGUAACCAUUUAAAAGAUCAUGAACAGUGCUCUUCCACGGGGAGUUUAGAAUCUAGGUUUUCCGAAGUAAAACUUACCUGAAAUUGGUGUCUACGUGAUCGUUGAGGUUCCAGGAGUUCAAUGGUGGUCUUAACUCCGUCGUUGGUAUAGAAGUUUAGUGUGGUUUUGGAGCUUGUCCGUGUGAGUUCGAAGGAGAGGGAGAGAGAACUGAGAGUUGCGUGAGGGAGGAGAGAGAGAGGGACAAGGUACGGGAAUUGGGGAAGGUUUUGAGGGAUGUGGGGAUCCCACGUGUCCAACUCAAUCCAAAUUGUUAAAUUUUCACCCCUUAGUCCCGUUUAAGGGCAUUUUCGUCUUUUCACGUCCUCGGAAUUAAAAUUCCGGGACGGGCUGUGACAAUCUUCCCUCCUUAUAGAAUUUCGUCCCCGAAAUUCCAGCAACCAACUAAAUCAACCAUACUCCAACAAUAGCUUCGGGUAAAUCUGUCUCAUCCGAUUCUCUUUCUCCCACAUAAUUUUCUACUGAAUGAUUCAUUCACAAAGCUUUUACUACUUACUCUGUCUUAAUUCUCAGGACCUUCUUUUUCCAAUCCAAAGUCGUCAUUGGUUCCUUAUCAAGUCGAAUCCAAUUUAAUUCUCAAUAGUUGCACCAGAAUCUCUUGUGACGAAUCUGCCACCUAGUGACAACGUAUCGAACCCAAAAUACAUUAAGUACCUUAGCCAACUCUGAAGACAUCACCACUUGUAUGCAACUUUAUUGAUUCCUUUAGUGAUAAAAAAAUGGUCUGAUGUGUCUAAAUCUUAUUUUGUCUCCUUUCCAACCCGAAUUAUACUUUUCUAUGGUGAACACUUCGAAAAUAUAAAACCAUUUGUCUUAUACACUCGAUUAGUGGCAUAUCCCUCUGUUAAUCUCUUUUGCCAUUCCUGGUUACUUUCAAGUUAACUUAAUCACCUGAAUACUUUGAGGAGACUCAUCCAUAGUCUCAGGGCCUACAAAAACUCUUUCGUGAUCAAAUCUUUUUCUAUUCAGAAGCAUUUCAUUCACACGACACGCUUCAGGGACCCUAUGGCGUUAUUUCGGAAACUGCGCACCCAACAUACUUAAGAAACUCAGCAGUUCCGUAAUCCAAUUCUCUUUUCCAUAAAACAAAUAAGUACUGUUACUCAACACUGGAGUAAAUGUACUAACUUGGUACAUUGACCAAUUAUCACUUCAAAUUCGAUCAUAACCAUCCUAUGUACAAGGAAACUUGUACACAUAAUCCAAAGUAAUAUCUUUCCAUUUCCACUGCGAAACAGAAAAUAGUUAUCCCAAUCCAAAGGUUUAUCUUUUUCUGCCUCAAUCUGCUGACCAAAUAAAACUGUCGAAUGGUAUGAUAAAUCUUAUUACUUUUGGAAUAUUACAGAAGUUGAACAGUGAACUUCGUCCAAUUUUUGCUUGCUUCAAAUCCUCAGCAUUAGGCACAUACUUUUUGUUUUCUUGUAUCCACAUACCAUUUGAUUCACGAAUCAUGUACUCAUUCUUUUUCCCUUCUUUCUCUGCCUUGGUUAAUUCUUAAAUUUCCUCGUCAAACAUUUAAGUUUCGAGUACGACCUUACCAAACAGGCCUAACUUGAAAUUUAACAAAUAUAACUUCUUCUCGAUCUUCCAUUCUUAAUUUUUCUUCCGUUGGUUUUCAAUCCACAAGAUGAUACUCUUGGCAAACGUGCCAGACAUUAAUCUUACUGUAGUCUUCUCACCAAGUGCUUCAGCUAGAACAAACUUUACGAUCACCCUGAUCGUACAAUCAUGUUCAUUAAGCAAUACAAUUCACUUUCGCUGCCUCAUAUCAAAAUCCUUCCAAGUAAUGGAUAUUGAAGACUUUUUGGAUUCGUAAAAAAAAUCUUGCAUUCUUACUAAAAUAUAAUGUCUCCAUAACUUCACAGCAAGGAUGGUAAUCGUGACUUCCAAAUCACCAGUAGGGUAAUUCAUCUUAUGAGGUUCCAUUUGUCGUGAAACGUAUGCAAUCACCCUAACAUUUGCAUUAAUACAUAUCCAAGAACAUUUAAUGUAACAUCACCAUAUACCGAUAAUUAUCGCUAUCUUCUGGGAAUAUUAAAAUACGUGCAUGAGUGAGGAAAUACUUCAGUUGUUGAAUCCUUUGCUCACAAUUUCCUUCCCACUCAUACAUAACCUCUUUUCUCAACAGUCUCGUCAAUGACAAAGCAAUGACUGAAAAAUCUUUCACAACCAUCCAAGAUAGCCUGGUAAGUUAAGAAAUUCCAAAUCUCAAUUACGACUCGUGGUUGUUCCAAUUCCUCAAUUUCUACUAUCUUUUAAGAAUUCAUUUGAAUACCUUAAGCAGAUAUACAAAUCUCAGAAUGCCACCUGAUUCAUCUAACUUUAGCAUUUGCUACUUAGCAUACAACCAACGUUCUCUCAAUCUUUGCUUCACCAACUUAAUAUGUUUACAUGCUUUGCUCUGGCUCAGAAUAUGCCAGAAUAUCUUCAAUGAAAAUGAUAUCAAGGCAUUAUUGGAAUACUUCAUCCAUCAACUCAUAAAACAGCAUGAGUAUCCAUAUAGCAUCACCAAACUUCAUCAAGACUAUAACGAGUCCAGAAAAACAAUCUUAGGAACAACGUUACUCAUAAUCUUCAAUUGAUAAUAAACAGACCUCAAGUCAAUCUUUGAAAAUAUACAAGCACCUUUGAACUGAUCAAAGGAGCGUCAAUACACCACAAUGGAUAACGGUUCUCAUUCGUUACCCGAUUCCAUUAUCUAUAAUCAAUGAACAAUCUCUAAGUCCAUUUCCUUUCUCACCAACAAACUGGUGCUCCUCAACAGUGUUGUACUAUGUUGAAUAAAACUUUUAUCAACCAAUUCUCUCAACUGAAUUUCCAAUUCCCUUAACUCAUCAUGAACCAAUCUUUAACAUAAAUUUAUACCCGGCAACAAAUCAAUAAUGAACCUCAUAUCUCUGCCUGAAGACAAUCCAGGUAUACUUUCAGGGAAGACAUCAAGAAAAGUCUAACCCCUUUUUCAUUUUUCACACUUCUCCGAGCAACAUCCUUUAGUACCACAUGAACUAAGUAUUUUUUUUUGACAUCCUUUCGAAAACAAUCUCUUUGCUCUCACAGCAUAAAUAACGGCCUGACUCAAUCCACUUUGCAUACUUACAAAAAUAAUCUCUGGUCAUCCAGAUCGAUGGAAAGUACUGGUUUCCCGUAACAUUCCAUCUAGUCACAACUAUAAACAAUCACUCUAAUGGAAUAAAAUUAAUUGACCCAAUACAUACUUUAUCAUUACUGAACAUUCUAAAUAAGUACAACACUAACAUAAAAUAAUUUACCGGGUUGCUUGCUUAACGAAUCCACGAAUAAGUUAUUAAUAUUACGGUCUGCAGCCCGCAAUACUGAUAAAUCAUUGUUGUCUCGAUAAGUAAGAAACCACUCUCAAAGAUAUAACAUUACUAUUUUGUCACUCAAUGAAAAAUACUUACACUCGUCUCAACUACAUUUAUUUACUACUCUCAAGGUAAUAACAUACAUAAUAAGAAAUAUAUCAGCCGAAGUCAACUAGAAUGACCAAUACGACUGAUUCAACUCUUAUCUCAAUAAUACGUCGGCCGGAUCCACUCCGCGUGGUCGGUACGGCCGAGCCUAUAACUCACCAAUUUCUCAUGUGUCAAUCGAAUCCACUUCUCAUGGUCUGUACGGCUGAACAUAUAACUCAUCAAAUCUCUCCGUACUCACGGUCAAUCCGACCAAACUACUAAAUCCAUAACUCUGCUGAAUCAACACUAUGAUAUCAUGGAAAAUUGUUGAGUACAACUGAUUCUAGGGACGAUUCACAAUUCUGUGUCCCCUCUGUUCACAUAAACACAUUCAUUAAUUUCACAUUUCCCAAAGUGUUAAUUUUUGUACCUGCUGCACAAGGUACAUUUCCUUUACUCGAGACACCUUGUCUCAAAUAUCUGGGAUUACCAGUAUAUCCAUCACUUUUACUCUGACCAGCGACAAUAAAACCUCAGCUGGAAGAAUUAAUUCUAGCUUCACUUCUUUUUAAACUCUGAAUCCUUCGAUAUUCUUGAUAUGACGAAUCAUUAACUUUAUCGUCUUCUUUUGAUUCCCAUUCAUUUCUUAUUCUUCUUUAUUCUCAUUGAUCAUGUUCUCAGAGUCCUCAAGGCUCAACAACAUCUUGUAUACUCCUGGUAAGAAGUACAAUGGAUAGUGGUCACCCAAAAUACCACUUCCCUUUUUGCCACCCAGCUUAAAACAAUAUAACACCUCCACCAAAUUAACAACAAUAUCUGGAUGGAACGAGGCAAGUCUGAAAACUUUCUAUAAUAUUCAUUUAUCGUCAACUUCCUUAAUUCACAUUUGCAAACUCUUGCUUACUACCAUCGAUAAAUGCCGGAGGGAUAAACUUUUCCUUAAACAAUUUUAAAUCGGCUGUUCCUCCGAUGACAACAAAUCAUACUCCUGUUUCCACCAGGAUACAAAUUCAUACCCAAAACCAGGUAGUCGUCUCGACCCCCCUGUCAGAAGGAAGAUUCCUUUGACUUGCAUAAUCUGAAACAUCUUUUCCAAAUGGUUAAACCGUUACUUCGCUCCCUCAGGUUCAUCAUUUCAUAAGGUGAUUCAAAUUCGACUCAUAACCCGUCUUAAAAUGUCCAUUUUUAUAAUAUACUGAAUCACCAUAAUAAUAGUUUUCCCUAAACCGCUAUAUUAGGGAGACUAAAUUCCUCUAACUAAGUGGCUUGCUACGAGGCGGUGUAGUUCUGACAGAAUUCACUAGAACUUCUCAAGAUGUCCAAGAUUGCAACCAUGCUCUGAUACCAACUGACACACCCCGUCCCGAAGGAGGGCAUGCUGGCCGUCACGUGAGAGUGACGUAACCAUUUGCACAGUACGGAAGCUUUAAGAUACAAUUUAUAAGUUGAUACACCCGAAGGUGAGUCCUAAUUUUGUCCAAUCUGUCAGAACACCGUCGAAUUCCUCGUAGUCACCACACCUUUGUGAUUCCUGAACCUGGAGGGGCGCAAAACCAAAAUUGAGUGGGUCAGUAAAACAAUUCUUUUCCAAAUCCAAACAUUUCUCAAAACGUUGUAACCCCUCUCCGUAAAACCUGUAUACUUUCCCCAGAAAUGUAAAAUAUAAAUAUACAUAUAUAUUCUCAAUACUUUAAUUCAUUAACUCAACAUUUUUUCUUUAUCAAUCAUGCCAUGCCAUGUCUAAUUCAACAGUUAAGUAUGGAUGCAUCAACAAUAAUCAUAUCAGGUGCAAGAAAGUAAUCAACCGGAGGCCCUCUAAUAGCCCUGUACGGUUGAACCUAGAGCUCAAAAUCUAUCACUAUCACUCUACCGGAGUCACCUCUGUGACCCGUCCGGCCUUCUGCACACAAGUUACGCUCUAGUGCUUUCUCAUCAAUCAUCUGUGCACAUAAUCUAAGGUCACCCACCAGUCGAAAUCUCACUAACACUCUUCGACUGGCCCGUCGCAACCCACUCCGCGUGGACUGUACGACCAGCAUCUACUUGGAUCCAAGGCGAGCGUGCGAUGCGGUGAAUACUAUAAGCACUAAACCAUGGUGCAGGAUUUGAGCUCAAUAUAUAUCAACAUCAUCAUAACAGUAAUUAAAUACUCACCUGAUACUCACCUGUGCGUCCGCCGCACCAUUCAUUCAUAUGCAUCAUAUCUCAAUUCAUACUUUUCAUAUCAUUUCAUGCAUGGCAAUUCGAUUCACAUUUCUAUAUACUUUUCAUAUACUUUUCAUGCAUGACAUUUCAACUAAUAUAUCUCAUAUACUUUUAUACAUUUUCAUUAAAAAGCAUAAUUUCAUGCAUUUUCAAUUUCUAGGAAACGGCAAGUAUAUAUGUAUACGGAAAACAAAACUGCCCACUCACCUGGAGUUCGUCCAACAACUCCCUAGCACCACACAUCAAGGCGUCACGACGAUCGCCGCCUAGAAUAGUAAUCAAAUCCAACCUCAGAAUUCAUAUCGAUAGAAUAUAACUUAUAUAAAAUACGUCACUACGUAGAUCGAUCCGGAAGAUCUGCCACUCAGAUUUUAAAUCCAUAACUUCCAGAGGUCCACAAUAUAUCUCUAGGAUAACAUCCUAAAAUUUCAUUACCAUCCAACGGUCGGAUCUCCGUCAAUUUCCAAAACUAAGUGACGGUUAACAUUCUAUAUUAUGGACUUACAACUCCAAUUUCGGAAGAUCCGCAAAUCGGAUUCCCAAUCUGUAAGUUCCUAUAAUCCUCAAAUAUUACGUAUUACAACGUAUCAAAGUUUGGUGAUGAUCCAACGGUCGGAUCAUCAAUUCAUAUUUUCACUUAAAUGCAAAAACUAUAAAACGUUAUUUGAACACCUAACCAACAAUCCUUAAUAACUUUCUCAUACGGUGCUCAAUUGGGUAUACGAAUAUACCACAGUGAUCUACUCGACGUCACGGACGUCGACAUAUUUUUCAAAUAAUUUUUUACUGUAGCACGCGCCCCCACGCGCCAAGGAAGGCACGGACCUACGCGCCCCCACGCGCACCUUCUUCUUCCUUGGGUCGCCGGACUGGUUUUUCCGGCGGCCGUUUUUCAAAUUGCCAUAACUUUGUCAUUUCUCAACGAAAUCAAGUGAUUCCAAAACGAAAGUUGUAGCCCUUGAAGAUACAAAGAGAAUGGUACCUUGCACAACACCUAGUUCGCCGUGGUUUGGCCGGAAACUGCCUCGAAAGCCUCGGAGGUCGCCGGAAACUGGGUAUUUUUCAAAUGAGUAUAACUUCUUCAAUACUCAACGAAAUUGAGUGAAACAAAAAGGAAAGUUGUAGUACUUGACGAGACGAAGAGAUGGAUACCUACCUCGACUCCUAACUCGCCGGGGAUUCGCCGGAAAAAUCCUCGAAAGCUCCGGCCAAACUUUGAACUUGUCGAUCUCCGUGUUCUUACGUCCAAAAACUUCCAACGAAGCACUCCGAGCUUCCUUGGGACCUCACUAAGCUCGCUGUGAUCUUGUUUUAGC